rnacentral:rRNA from 1 species
GAUGAACGCUGGCGGCGUGCUUAACACAUGCAAGUCGAACGAUGAAGCCCAGCUUGCUUGGUGGAUUAGUGGCGAACGGGUGAGUAACACGUGAGUAACCUGCCCUUAACUCUGGGAUAAGCCUGGGAAACUGGGUCUAAUACCGGAUAGGAGCGUCCACCGCAUGGUGGGUGUUGGAAAGAUUUAUCGGUUUUGGAUGGACUCGCGGCUUAUCAGCUUGUUGGUGGGGUAAUGGCUCACCAAGGCGACGACGGGUAGCCGGCCUGAGAGGGUGACCGGCCACACUGGGACUGAGACACGGCCCAGACUCCUACGGGAGGCAGCAGUGGGGAAUAUUGCACAAUGGGCGCAAGCCUGAUGCAGCGACGCCGCGUGAGGGAUGACGGCCUUCGGGUUGUAAACCUCUUUCAGUAGGGAAGAAGCGAAAGUGACGGUACCUGCAGAAGAAGCACCGGCUAACUACGUG